CACGGGGGGAGCAAGCGUUGUUCGGAAUCACUGGGUGUAAAGGGCGUGUAGGCGGUUAGGGAAGUGGGAUGUGAAAGCCCCCGGCUCACCCGGGGACCUGCAUUCCAAACUGCCUGACUUGAGUAUGGGAGAGGAUAGGGGAAUUCCUGGUGUAGCGGUGAAAUGCGUAGAUAUCAGGAGGAACACCGGUGGCGAAGGCGCCUAUCUGGCCCAAUACUGACGCUGAGGCGCGAAAGCUAGGGGAGCAAACGGG
rnacentral:rRNA from 1 species